rnacentral:rRNA from 1 species
UGAGGAAUAUUGGUCAAUGGUCGCUAGACUGAACCAGCCAAGUAGCGUGCGGGAUGAGGGCCCUCCGGGUCGUAAACCGCUUUUAGACGGGGAUAAAAGGGCGUACGUGUACGCCGUAUUGCAUGUACCGUCAGAAAAACGGACCGGCUAAUUCCGUGCCAGCAGCCGCGGUAAUACGGAAGGUCCGGGCGUUAUCCGGAUUUAUUGGGUUUAAAGGGAGCGUAGGCGGACUUUCAAGUCAGUGGUAAAAUCGUGUGGCUCAACCAUACCUCGCCAUUGAAACUGGAAGUCUGGAGUGCACACAGGGGUGCCGGAAUUCAUGGUGUAGCGGUGAAAUGCUUAGAUAUCAUGAAGAACUCCGAUCGCGAAGGCAAGUGCCCGGGGUGCAACUGACGCUGAGGCUCGAAGGUGCGGGUAUCGAACAGGAUUAGAUACC